UCAUGAUGUAUACAAUAGUUAAAUAUUACGAACCAUGGUUUAAAAUUUAAAGAUUUUGGCGGUGUCUUAUAAAACCAGGGGAACCUGUCUCAUAACUCGAUAAUCCACGAAUAUUCAACCUUCUCUCGAUACCCAGCAUGUGUACUGCCGUUGUAAGUAUACCUUUAAAAGAACAAGUAUACUACUAUGGCUACCAGACAACCCCAUUUACAUCAGGUCAAAGUGCAGCUUAUAGGAAGGUGAGGAUGGGUUACAACCCCAAAAUAGACUAUCAAUCAAGAAAAUAAAAAAUAUUGUGAAAGCGGACUUGGCUGUAAUCAAUUUAUAAAUUAAAAAAAUGAAUAUUCUCUAAGACAUGCACACAUCGCCCGUCACUCUAUCCUAAAGGUU
rnacentral:rRNA from 1 species